rnacentral:misc_RNA from 1 species
GAUGAAGAACGUAGCGAAAUGCGAUACGUAAUGUGAAUUGCAGAAUUCAGUGAAUCAUCGAAUCUUUGAACGCAUAUUGCGCUCUCUGGUAUUCCGGAGAGCAUGCUUGUUUGAGUAUCAGUAAACACCUCAACUCCCUUUUCUUUUUUGAAAUUGGAGCUGGACUUGAGUGAUCCCAACGCUUUCUUCCAAGAAAGUGGCGGGUUGCUUGAAAUGCAGGUGCAGCUGAACUUUUCUCUGAGCUAUAAGCAUAUCUAUUUAGUCUGCCUAAAAAACAGAUUAUUACCUUUGCUGCAGCUAACAUAAAGGAGACUAGUUCUUGUGCUGACUGAUGCAGGAUUCACAGAGACAGCUUCGGCUGACUUUGUAAACUCGAUCUCAAAUCAAGCAAGACUACCCGCUGAACUUAAGCAUAUCAAUAAGCGGAGGA